AUUGAACGCUGGCGGCAGGCUUAACACAUGCAAGUCGAGCGGGGUGAUGGUGCUUGCACUAUCACUUAGCGGCGGACGGGUGAGUAAUGCUUAGGAAUCUGCCUAUUAGUGGGGGACAACAUCUCGAAAGGGAUGCUAAUACCGCAUACGUCCUACGGGAGAAAGCAGGGGAUCACUUGUGACCUUGCGCUAAUAGAUGAGCCUAAGUCGGAUUAGCUAGUUGGUGGGGUAAAGGCCUACCAAGGCGACGAUCUGUAGCGGGUCUGAGAGGAUGAUCCGCCACACUGGGACUGAGACACGGCCCAGACUACUACGGGAGGCAGCAGUGGGGAAUAUUGGACAAUGGGGGGAACCCUGAUCCAGCCAUGCCGCGUGUGUGAAGAAGGCCUUAUGGUUGUAAAGCACUUUAAGCGAGGAGGAAGCUCUUUUGGUUAAUACCCAAGAUGAGUGGACGUUACUCGCAGAAUAAGCACCGGCUAACUCUGUGCCAGCCGCCGCGGUAA
rnacentral:rRNA from 1 species